UAUCUUAUUAUAGAGAUUGGAACACUUAAUUGGCAUUAAAGGAACUGCCCUAAGCUGGUUUAAGUCUUAUUUAUCAAAUCGAUCUCAAUUUGUGGAUGUUAAGGAUAAAUCCC